rnacentral:rRNA from 2 species
UUAAAUUGAAGAGUUUGAUCAUGGCUCAGAUUGAACGCUGGCGGCAGGCCUAACACAUGCAAGUCGAGCGGUAGCACAGAGAGCUUGCUCUCGGGUGACGAGCGGCGGACGGGUGAGUAAUGUCUGG